AUGUGCGGCAUAGCCCUCGUCCUAUCCGGCGACUGCCUAGUCGUCUCCCCCUCCACCGCCGCCGCCGCCGCCGAAGCCGCUGCAUCCGGAACACCGUUCUCCGACGAGGGGAAGGGCGUGUCCGUGGGUGAGCUCAAGGAGGCCCUGCGGCGGCGAGGCCCGGACAGCCUUGGAUGCCAUAGGCUCCACCUUUGCGCGGCGGACAGCAGCAUCGUAGGUGCUACAGAUGGCGUAGAUUGUGACGGUGGAGACGGGGUUGGUGGUGGUGUUGGUGCCACGGAGUUGUGCUUCAUUGGCGCGACACUGCAGCUCAGGGGAGCUGAGCCGGUUUCGCAGCCACUGGUGGCGCAAUCAGGAAGUGUUCUAGUGUAUAAUGGUGAGAUAUAUGGAGGAAUUAACAUUGCCAAUGAUCAGAAUGACACACAAUCACUCUUGUCUUCACUGGAAUCUUUCUGUUGCUGUGACCUCCAUGUUGCUGAUAGAGAUGAAGCAUACCCUUGCCGUGAGAGCGUAGGGAAAUCAGUUCCACAGAUCCUCUCCACUAUUAAAGGACCAUGGGCUUUGAUAUACUGGCAGACAGACUCAAAAACAUUGUGGUUUGGCCGGGAUGCAUUUGGGAGAAGAAGCCUGUUGGUACAUUGGCCCACUCCUGAUGAUUCACGCUUUAUAUUAUCAUCAGUAUCACCCCCUUCGUUUUCAAGGAAUAACUCUGCAACAGAAGUAAAUGGUUUGGAGGCAGGAGCAGACCCUGAUUUUUCUGACCAUACCAAAGUUAGCUACUGGGAAGAGCUUCCUUGUGGGAUAUACAGCAUUCACCUGAAAGACCUUGAUAAUAAUGCCGCAUGUACGAGGGAAGGAUGUGUCGUCGAAGUUAGAAAACAUGAUUGGACGGAUUCUUCGUUGCAUACGUUAAUACGAUGGGAGAGAAAAUCAACAGUUCCUACUGUGGAUGGCUUGGUUUCGGCCAUGGGUUCUGUUGACAAAGGGAACCAUCACUUGUCUUCGUGUUUCAGAGAAGCUGAAGACAGUACAAGUAAUGGGUUUGAGAAAAGAGAUCUCCCAUCAGAUAUUUGCCUAUCUCCAGCACAUAGAGUAUUAAUUGCACUAAGGGAAUCUGUAAUGCUGCGAACCAAUGUGAACAUACUGUAUCAGGGUGAUCUGAAUAAACUCAAGGAAGCGGAGUUGGCCCCGAUAGCAAUCCUUUUCUCUGGUGGCUUGGACUCCAUGAUACUUGCAGCAUUACUAGACCAGUGCCUUGAUUCCAAAUGGACAAUUGAUUUGCUGAAUGUCAGUUUUGAUGGGCAGCUAGCUCCAGAUAGAGUUUCUUCACUGGCAGGACUGAAGGAGCUUCAGAGAAUCUCCCCUCUGCGGAGAUGGCGUCUUGUUGAGAUUGACAGUAAUUUGGCCAACUUGAAAGAGGAAAGUGAACACGUGAUGUCACUGAUAUACCCUUCAAAUACCUAUAUGGAUUUGAACAUUGGUAUAGCCCUAUGGUUAGCUGCUAGCGGGGAUGGUUGGGUGAAUGGGCAAGAUGGUGAUCGCUACAAGCACAAGUCAACAUCUAGAGUCCUUUUAGUCGGUUCUGGAGCUGAUGAGCAGUGUGCUGGUUAUGGUAGACAUCGUACUAAAUAUAGAGUUGGAGGAUAUUGCAAAAACAAAUUAAAUUCAUGUUUUGUACCCCUAUUUAGAUGGGUUUCACUGGACGAGGAAAUGAGACUAGAUGUGCAAAGAAUUUGGAAAAGAAACAUGGGAAGAGACGAUAGGUGCAUUUCUGACCAUGGCAAGGAGGCUCGUUUUCCAUUUCUUGAUGAGAGUGUGAUCAGAACAUUGUUGGAAAUUCCACUAUGGGAUAUCACUAAACUUGAUGAACCUGUGGGGAAGGGUGAUAAGAAGAUUCUGAGAGAGGUUGCAAAGCUGCUGGGUCUACAAGAAGCUGCUUUUCUGCCAAAGCGAGCAAUCCAGUUUGGUUCGAGAAUAGCAAGGGAAUCAAACCGCAAGAACUUUGGCAGCAACCGAGCCGCGAACCUGGCGUCAGCAGGCAGCGUGGAGGUCCACAAGCGUAACCACUGA
rnacentral:rRNA from 1 species